rnacentral:rRNA from 1 species
GAAUCCCUGGGCUUAAAGCGCGUGUAGGUGGGUCGUUAAGUGUCCUCUUGAAAUCCCACGGCUCAACCGUGGAACUGCCGGGCAUACUGGCGAUCUUGAGGCAUUCAGGGGCGAGCGGAACAAAUGGUGGAGCGGUGAAAUGCGUAGAUAUCAUUUGGAACGCCAAUGGUGAAAACAGCUCGCUGGGAAUGAUCUGACACUGAGACGCGAAAGCCAGGGGAGCGAACGGG